AUUGAACGCUGGCGGCAGGCCUAACACAUGCGAGUCGAGCGGAUGAAGGGAGCUUGCUCCUGGAUUCAGCGGCGGACGGGUGAGUAAUGCCUAGGAAUCUGCCUGGUAGAGGGGGAUAACGUCCGGAAACGGGCGCUAAUACCGCAUACGUCCUGAGGGGGAAAGUGGGGGAUCUUCGGACCUCACGCUAUCAGAUGAGCCUAGGUCGGAUUAGCUAGUUGGUGGGGUAAAGGCCUACCAAGGCGACGAUCCGUAACUGGUCUGAGAGGAUGAUCAGUCACACUGGAACUGAGACACGGUCCAGACUCCUACGGGAGGCAGCAGUGGGGAAUAUUGGACAAUGGGCGAAAGCCUGAUCCAGCCAUGCCGCGUGUGUGAAGAAGGUCUUCGGAUUGUAAAGCACUUUAAGUUGGGAGGAAGGGCAGUAAGUUAAUACCUUGCUGUUUUGACGUUACCAACAGAAUAAGCACCGGCUAACUUCGUG
rnacentral:rRNA from 1 species